AAAAAAGAAGAAGAGAGAUUUCAAGGUAUCUUAAUUGUCCUAACCUGGAUAUAAGAAAUGAAUUGGCUUUCAUUUCUUAUAUCCGGAUAUAAGAAAUAAAUUGGCUUUCAUUUCAAGAUAUCUUAAUUGUCCUAACCCGAAUAUAAGAUUUCGCAGUUGUAUUUAAGAUGUAUGAUGCAUACACACUCGCAUUAAAAGCCAGUGAGGCAAUUAACUAAGGACUUGGGAGACGAUUUGGUGCCCCACAAGGACCUUCAUUAAUGAUGGGGCAACAUGUUAACUUUCUAAGUAAGACAACUAGACUCCCAUAGGUUGAGGGAUGACAACUAGACUCCCACCAUGCACUAGACAAUCUUUUGAACAUCUAAUUUCUUUUUCUUCAAAUAUCCUUUUGUUGCAUUCCUUACAUAGUCCAUAUGAUUGCCAUUGGAAGUACGUUCUAACUUAUUUGCCCUCCUUUUGUAAAAGGGCCAGCUGUCCAAUCCUCUAAAUGCUUUGUCACUAAUGACAACAUCAGCCAGGAUAUUCCAAUGGCUUGUAAGAGAAAGCACCACUUACCUUGCAAAUUAACAACGAAGAAGUAAAAGGCUGGCAUUUCGUGCAUAGCUCCAACACAUGGCAGUAGUUGUUGGGAAAUUCAAAAUUCCCGUUCUGCAAAUUUUUUUAGGAGUUCGUUUGCCACUGCAAACCAACAAAAGCCUUGGCCCAACGUGGUGGAUGAUAUUGCCAUACUAUGGACAAGUGGACUUCUCAUAUUCAUCCAGAAUGAUUGCCUUUUCAAUGAGAACUUGCCAGAUGGAUCAUGGAUCCAAUUUCUCCACUUCAGAUGGCUCUAGAUGAUUGUUUUUAGCACAUACAUUAAUUCCUCAAACAUUGGUAUUUUGUAAUCCCAAAAAUUUCUUAUGAAUUCCAAUGAUCAUAGCAACUGUGCCCUACGCCUUAUGAUGAUCCUUAAUAGCCGUAUCUUUCCCAGGGGUCAAUGCAUAUAACUUUGGCCAUCGUUGUGCCAAAGAAACAUCUCCCAUCUAGAUAUCUUCCUAGAAACAUAUUCUUCUCCCUCACAACAUUGCUAGGCAAAUUUUGUAUGGCCUCUCAGCUCUUCCUGGGUUGGUCUGUCGAGGGACAGAUUUUGUAUGGUCUAGUUUUUGUGCUUUCUCUUUGUUUUUUUAGCUUUCUAGAUUGUCUUUCUUGUAUUUUUCUUUAUCAAUAAAAUCCUUACCUUUCAAAAAAAAAAAAAA